UACAGAGGGUGCAAGCGUUAAUCGGAAUUACUGGGCGUAAAGCGUGCGUAGACGGUUAUGUAAGUCAGAUGUGAAAGCCCCGGGCUCAACCUGGGAAUUGCAUUUGAGACUGCAUAGCUAGGGUGCGGAAGAGGGAAGCGGAAUUUCCGGUGUAGCGGUGAAAUGCGUAGAUAUCUGGAGGAACACCGGUGGCGAAGGCGGCAUCCUGGACCGGCAUUGACGCUAAAGCGCGAAAGCCAGGGGAGCAAACGGG
rnacentral:rRNA from 1 species